rnacentral:rRNA from 1 species
GACGAGCGCUGGCGGCGUGCUUAACACAUGCAAGUCGAACGAAGAGCGAUGGAAGCUUGCUUCUAUCAAUCUUAGUGGCGAACGGGUGAGUAACGCGUAAUCAACCUGCCCUUCAGAGGGGGACAACAGUUGGAAACGACUUCUAAUACCGCAUACGAUCUAAUCUCGGCAUCGAGGAUAGAUGAAAGGUGGUCUCUACAUGUAAGCUAUCACUGAAGGAGGGGAUUGCGGCUGAUUAGCUAGGUGGAGGGGGAACGGCCUACCAAGGCGAUGAUCAGUAGGCGGUCUGGGAGGAUGAACGGCCACAUUGGGACUGAGACACGGCUCAGACUCCUACGGGAGGCAGCAGUGGGGAAUCUUCCGCAAUGGACGAAAGUCUGACGGAGCAACGCCGCGGGAGUGAUGACGGCCUUCGGGUUGUAAAGCUCUGUUAAUCGGGACGAAAGGCCUUCUUGCGAAUAGUGAGAAGUAUUGACGGUACCGGAAUAGAAAGCCACGGCUAACUACGUG